rnacentral:tRNA from 1 species
GCCGGGGUGCCCGAGCGGCCCAAGGGGGAGGGCUCGAGACCCUCUAGGGGGAAACCCCUGCACGGGUUCAAAUCCCGUCCCCGGCG